rnacentral:lncRNA from 1 species
UGAGAACUGCUUUGGAGAGUCUAAUAAGUCCAAAUGAGCAUUAAAAAGGAGAGAGAGUAGGAGAAGUAUCUCUUGAGAAAGGAAAAAGAGUUUUUAACAACUGGCUUAAAAAAUUCCUGAAAAUUUAACAAUCAGCUCUGUGGACCAGAACAAGCUGACUCCAGCACACCAAUGGGAUUGUGGUACUUUUUGUACACGAAACUUAACCACAUACAGACCAAAACACAGACUUCAAUGGAAAACACAGUGGAAGAAAAAUUUAAGAGAAGCAACGUACCUAUUUCUCAGUUUAGGAAAAUCAGUUAUAAUUUAUUCCCCUCUAUAUCUGAAAAUAUCUAUUUUGUCCACUAGCCUUAUUAAUUUUUAUUCUUUGGCUUUAUAUUUCCCAUAUUACACACACACACACACACACACACAAUGGCAUUAAAGAAUUACAGGAGUAAGGUGUAGAAAAAGGAUUCCAAGUAGACACUUGCAGAUCUUAAAUAUUGUUUAAAAAAGAACAAAGGAAGAAGAAUCAUCAAUAUUUAUAAUGAAUUUCCUAAAUAGAGCAACAGUACCAAAAAGGAGACUAUCUUAACUACUAAUUUGAAAUGUAUAAUAGGCAACUUAAGAAACAGCACAUUCCUUAGUUCAGUAUACCCACAUACACUGUUUCAUUUUUUCCAAACAACAUAAUAAAAGAUGGAAAAAACACCCAGUUCACAACUGGAAGUCUAUUACAUUUUCAAAUUUGAUAGUUUUCUUUGCCCCCAAAUUUACAAAACAAUAAAAAACAAUUUAAUUUAAAAAAUUAAAAAAA